rnacentral:lncRNA from 1 species
AGGGUUUCCUCGCGCCGCCACCGCCGCUGCUUCCGUCGUCUCCGCCGCCCCGCCGCCAUGGUACGUAUCCCCGACCUGUGCGCUUAAUCUCUCGAAUUCGCGCGCUCGUACUGGUGCCGCGUGCUGAUCUGAUGCCUUGCCCCCGUCGCGUUGCUUCCCCAUCCCCGCGCAGCCGUCCCACAAGACCUUCCGGAUCAAGAAGAAGCUGGCCAAGAAGCAGCGCCAGAACCGCCCCAUCCCAUACUGGAUCCGCAUGCGCACCGACAACACCAUCAGGUUCGUCGGCUUCCUCGUAGCCCCCCGCCGUGUUACGCUACCAUCCCAGGCGGCGGCGUCCUGUGUUUCGGUCGCUCAUUCGUUUAUUGUUUCGUGGGUCAGGUACAACGCGAAGCGCAGGCACUGGCGCCGCACCAAGCUCGGAUUCUGAGCGGGGGAAUCAAUGCUGGGCACCGAUGCUUGGUGAAGCCUGGGGUUUACGAGCCGGCCUCGGGACGCCUCCAUGUCUCCGCAAGCUAGGAAGCUCUUGUUAAGAUUUUGCUUAUGUUAAUGGGAUCUUAUCAGUUGUGCUUGUAGCGUACUGAGAUAUCAUGUUUUUGCUAAUGGUUGAAGAACCUCCUUUAUAAUUAUGCAGAAGCUAUCUUGACCUGCAGGGCGUUAAUCAGUUGAUCCAACUGUUUUCUUUUGCCAUCCGUAUUGCGGUUUACGUGUCUUGCGUGAUGUUCCUUGGUGACUUAAUUGUUCUGAUUUUAAUAGCUGUUUGCAAUCUACGUUGUUUUACGCAUGAUCUGGUAGUGCAUUUGAUCUGCUAGUUAAGUGCCAAUUGGAUGUUUCUAAUUAGUGGCAUUCUGUAGCCUGUAGGCAUGGUUGCAUGGGGAUUAGUAUUCGGAGCAACUAGAGUACUGUUGCCAAAUUGCAUUCAAGUUGGUGUAGUAUUUGUAGCGAUGGACUUGUGCUCCUAAUCAAUUAGGAUUUUACUCCGAUCAUGUGUGAUGUUCCUUGGUGACUUAAUUGUUCUGAUUUUAAUAGCUGUUUACAAUCUAGAUUGUUUUACGCAUGAUCUGGUAGUGCAUUUGAUUUGUUAGUUAAGUGCCAAUUGGAUGUUUCUAAUUAGUGGCAUUCUGUAGCCUGUAGGCAUGGUUGCAUGGGGAUUAGUAUUCGGAGCAACUAGAGUACUGUUGCCAAAUUGCAUUCAAGUUGGUGUAGUAUUUGUAGCGAUAGACUUGUGCUCCUAAUCAAUUAGGAUUUUACUCCGAUCAUGAUAGCAUGGUCAUUAGCAUCCAUUGAGCUUCCUCCUGGAUAACUUUAUUAUAUAGCAAUUGAGUUGAUUGCUUCAUAUUAAUGUAUAAACUUGUUUACAUGAACAAGCUGUCGUGAAGUGCUUAGUGAGCACAGAUGGAUUCAGCAGUGGGAAAGUGCUGUUGAACAUGCUGUUGUGAAGUACUUAGUUGGCUUAUAUGAGGGAAGUGCUUUAGAAUGAUUGGGUUAUAUGACUUGUGUGAUCAAGUGUGUCUAGUUCUUCUGCACUGUAAUGUAAUUUAGGUUAAUUGCUAAGUUAUAUUGCAUCAGCACCAGACUGAAUGGUUUUUGGAUCUGUUCAGCUUGAGUUUCCAAAACAUGCUGUGAACUGGUUGAGGCGGUGGUGCGCGCCUUGAAUUGGUGUAAUUUUGGAAAGACAUUUGCAGCCACUGUAGAGUGGAUUGUUUGUCCAGUGACCAUUUCACAACCUGAGCUGCAUUUCGUGCUGCCCAAUCAGUGAAUAACGAUCAGGUCCCGAUGCUUAUUGGCAGAUGAGCUGCAGUUGACUUGUUCUGAAUUUCAAAUGUCGUUUGCUGUUUUUCUUCACCUAUUUUUCUGGAAUUCGACUAAAUCUUCCUAUUUUUCUGGAAUGGGACUAAAUCUUCCUAUUUUUCUUGAAUGGGAUUAAAUCUUCGGAGGCUAGAAGUUAUCGUGAUAACCUUCCUCCAGUUAAGAUUAUAGCCCUAGAUCACACUAGUAGGUAUAAAGAUCAAAGCCUCGACGCCACAGCCCACAGCCAUUUGCAAGAUGUAUCUCUUGCCCUGCGAGGCUAGAUGAGGUGGCAUGUUUAUGUCGUAGCGGCGCUGAUCUGCCGGGGGCUGACUGGAACUCACGCUGACGCAAUGGCUUCAAACGAAGGGAUGAACAUUUUUAUAUUUGCAGUGUGUAAGGCUAGAAAUCAAUUUAAGGUUGAUGGGACAUUUCCUGCUGGCAUCGAGGGUGUGGUUGCUCGCAUGAGGAUCAUAUAUACUCCACCAGUGGAUGUGAAUCCUAGAGAAGUUGGGUUAGGCCAUGGGAUAUUGGUGAUGUCUGAUGUAAGACACACCCCUCAUGCGUUAACAGCACGAACGUAUGUUGCCGUAUAGAUCAAAAACAUAGUCUCGCAAAAAAAAAUGCUGCAAUAUUAGACAGAUUUCAGUUGUUUGAACUAUAAUUGUAUAUCAUAUACCCGCAAAAAAAUUGUAUAUAAUACAAUACUACCGUCCUGAAAUAUAAAAGAUUAUGGAAGAUAGCAUGUAGCAAAUGUAUCUACAUUACCAUUUAAUAGUGCAAAAUAAUAAAAAUGUUUACCUUUUAGAUGGUAAAUAUUAAAUUCCAUUUGAUAGGAUUCCAAAAUUUUGAUACGGCAGUCUAUUGAGCAUCAAAACUCACAACUCUCUCUCAACACUUACAACGUAUUUGGCUUUUGUAAAUGCAAACUUUAUUUAAAAGUGGAUUAGAAUUUCAGUUUGUUUUUAGAAGCUAAAUAUUUAUUUAACAGCAAAAGAAGGUCAAUACAUUUUUCUAAAAUUAUUUUAACAAACAUGUUUAAAUUAAAUCGAUUCUAAGCAUCCAAUUACGUGAGUUAUCUUGUUAGUUGCAAAUAAUUUUUACAGCAAAUGGGUUGCAAUAAACUAUUUGGUAAUAUCUCAAACUCACAUAAAUAUAAAAUUUCCAUGCAAUUCCAUGAAAUCAAUUGGUGUUAUGUUAUAAAGUGUAUAAUAUCAACAUUUGUUACAAUAUGAAAGGUGAAUUGAACAGGGCGGGCAUAUGCCCCCCGCUCCCGAACGAUAAAUAGUAAUGUGUUAGCUACAAUUUUGCAUUGUUGCUUCGUUUCUUAGUAGUUUACUAAUCCCAAAUUUAAGCGAGUGAAACUUUCAUCCUCUUGUAGCUCUUCUUGCUUGAUGACAGUUUCAAAUUUGUCACUCCCGACUAUCCCCUUAAUGAUGGACAUGCAUUUGGUGACACUGUAUAUAACACUUCGCAAUAACUCUCUUUGCUAACAUCCUCGAAUAUUUGUAGCUCUUCUUGCUUGAUGGCAGUUCCGAAUUUGUCACUCCCGGCUAUCCCUUUAAUGACGAACAUGCGCUUGGUGACACUGUAUGGAACACUUUGCAACAACUCUCUUUGCUAACGUCCUCGAAUAUAUAAUAUGGAUGAAAAGCUUAUACACUAGUCAAAAUAAAAGGAAUAUUUUUAUAAAUAGUAAAUAGUGAAUACAUCGGUAUCAAAUUGGUUCACCUCAUUAACCCAGAAAUAACCUAGUUGCAAAAUUAAACUGUGUUUGUCUAAAUUUUUUUACAAGAUAUAAAGUGCAUUGUGUGUUUAGUAAAAAAACUGAGUGGUGCAAGUCUUUAUUGUUGUGAUUAUAUGGUCAUUUGAUGGUGCGAUUUUUUACAUGAAGUGGGACUCAUGUCGAACAUUCCCCUAAUGACUGGAGUAUGAUCGUUCAUGCGGUGGUUCCCCUAGAAAUGCUAUAAGUUGGUAGGUAAGAUUUUGGCAGCCACUUAAAUUAGUACUUGUGUCAUUCCGUGUGAUGUUUUGGACAUCGACAUGCUCUCUAGGUACUCCCUCCGUCCCAAAUUAUAGAUCGUUUUGACUUUAUUAGAUUCAUAGACUUUGUUAUGCACUUAGAUAUACCCUAUGUCUAGAUGCAUAAUAAUAUCUAUGUAUGUAGGAAAGUCAAAACGACCUAUAAUUUGGAACGGAGGGAGUAGUUACCAACUUUGAGUGCAUUUAUACGUAAACUUGUAACAAAUUUGUAACUUUACUAUAUUUACAGAAAAUCAAUUGGAAUGAAAAUCAGUUUGAUCUUCUAUAUAUGUCUUCUCGUUGCAUUGCAUGCAGUGCAUACGCUAUGCAGAGCCAGCGCACGCCGAGACCAGAGGCGCCCCACGAAGGCCGGGCAGCCAAGAGCUGGGCGUCGCGCGUCCCGCGCCCGCCGCGCCUUAUAAGACGCCCGCGCCCGCGCCACGGCCACCGCCGUCUUCGUCCAUCCACGGAGAGAGAGGCAGAGGCAGGCAGCCGGUGCGUGCCCCGCCCUCCCUCUCCCCGAAGACCUCCGCCCCCGGCACCACCGGCCGGACGGCGUCGUCCCGCUCCUCUGGUUAGAGGCUCGCCGCCACCCACCCCAACUUGAAUAAAAGAAAAGGAAGAAAAAGAAGCAGCCAUGGCGUCCAUCUCCCCGGACGACGUCCGAGAUGGAAACGUCGAUCUGGUAUGCACGCGCGCGCCGGCGUCCGUUCUCUACCAGCUCGCACUGAUGAUGUCUCGUGGCUUAUUUGGGAUUGUUUGAUGAAUUUGCAGUCGAAGAUGCCGGUGGAGGAGGUGUUCAAGACGCUCAAGUGCGACCGCAAGGGGCUCUCCGGCGCGGAGGCGGAGGGCCGGCUCAGGGCGUUCGGCCCCAACAAGCUGGAGGAGAAGAAGGAGAGCAAGCUGCUCAAGUUCCUGGGCUUCAUGUGGAACCCGCUGUCGUGGGUGAUGGAGAUGGCGGCCAUCAUGGCCAUCGUGCUCGCCAACGGCGGCGGCAAGCCGCCCGACUGGCAGGACUUCGUCGGGAUCGUCACGCUGCUCAUCAUCAACUCCACCAUCAGCUACAUCGAGGAGGCCAACGCCGGGGACGCCGCGGCGGCGCUCAUGGCGGGGCUGGCGCCCAAGACCAAGCUGCUGAGGGACGGUCGGUGGGAGGAGCAGGACGCGUCCAUCCUAGUCCCCGGCGACAUCAUCAGCAUCAAGCUCGGCGACAUCAUCCCCGCCGACGCCAGGCUGCUCGAGGGCGACCCACUCAAGAUCGACCAGUCGGCGCUCACCGGCGAGUCGCUGCCGGUGAACAAGCACCCGGGGCAGGAGGUGUUCUCGGGCUCCACGGUGAAGCAGGGCGAGAUCGAGGCCGUCGUCAUCGCCACCGGCGUGCACACCUUCUUCGGCAAGGCGGCGCACCUCGUCGACAGCACCAACAACGUCGGCCACUUCCAACAGGUGCUCACGGCCAUCGGCAACUUCUGCAUCAUCUCCAUCGCCGCCGGCAUGCUGGUCGAGGUCGUCGUCAUGUACUCGGUCCAGCACCGCGCGUACCGCGACGGCAUCGACAACCUCCUCGUGCUCCUCAUCGGCGGCAUCCCCAUCGCCAUGCCCACCGUGCUCUCCGUCACCAUGGCCAUCGGCUCCCACCGCCUCUCCCAGCAGGGCGCCAUCACCAAGCGCAUGACCGCCAUCGAGGAGAUGGCCGGCAUGGACAUCCUCUGCAGCGACAAGACGGGCACCCUCACCCUCAACAAGCUCACAGUCGACAAGUCCCUCAUCGAGGUCUACUCCAAGGGCGUCGACAAGGACAUGGUGCUCCUCUACGCCGCCCGGGCCUCCCGUGUCGAGAACCAGGACGCCAUCGACACCUGCAUCGUCAACAUGCUCGCCGACCCCAAGGAGGCCCGCGCCGGCAUCCAGGAGGUCCACUUCCUCCCCUUCAACCCCGUCGAGAAGCGCACGGCCAUCACCUACGUCGACGGCAACGGCGACUGGCACAGGGUCAGCAAGGGCGCCCCCGAGCAGAUCAUCGAGCUCUGCAACAUGGGCGCCGACGCCGAGAAGAAGGUCCACUCCCUCAUCGACGGCUACGCCGACCGCGGCCUCCGGUCGCUCGGCGUGUCGUACCAGCAGGUGCCGGAGAAGAGCAAGGAGAGCGCCGGCGAGCCGUGGCAGUUCAUCGGCCUCCUGCCGCUGUUCGACCCGCCGCGGCACGACAGCGCCGAGACCAUCCGCCGCGCGCUCCACCUGGGCGUCAACGUCAAGAUGAUCACCGGUGACCAGCUCGCCAUCGGCAAGGAGACCGGGCGCCGCCUCGGCAUGGGCACCAACAUGUAUCCCUCCACCACCCUCCUCGGCGACAAGAACAGCACGGUGAACGGCAUGCCCAUCGACGAGCUCAUCGAGAAGGCCGACGGCUUCGCCGGCGUCUUCCCGGAGCACAAGUACGAGAUCGUGAAGCGGCUCCAGGAACGGGGUCACAUCUGCGGCAUGACCGGCGACGGCGUGAACGACGCGCCGGCACUGAAGAAGGCGGACAUCGGGAUCGCCGUCGACGACGCGACGGAUGCGGCCCGGAGCGCGUCGGACAUCGUGCUGACGGAGCCCGGGCUCAGCGUCAUCGUCAGCGCCGUGCUCACCAGCCGCUCCAUCUUCCAGCGCAUGAAGAACUACACCAUCUACGCCGUCUCCAUUACCAUCCGCAUCGUGCUGGGGUUCCUCGUCAUCGCGCUCAUCUGGAAGUUCGACUUCGCGCCAUUCAUGGUGCUCAUCAUCGCCAUCCUCAACGACGGCACCAUCAUGACCAUCUCCAAGGACCGCGUCAAGCCGUCUCCCAAGCCGGACUCGUGGAAGCUCAACGAGAUCUUCGCCACCGGCAUCGUCCUCGGAACCUACAUGGCCCUCGUCACCGCGCUCUUCUUCUACCUCGCCCACGACACCAACUUCUUCAGCGACGUGUUCGGCGUGGCGUCCAUCAAGGAGAACGACAGGGAGCUCAUGGCGGCGCUCUACCUCCAGGUCAGCAUCAUCAGCCAGGCGCUCAUCUUCGUGACGCGGUCGCGGAGCUGGUCCUUCGUGGAGCGGCCGGGGUACCUCCUGCUCUUCGCCUUCUUCGCCGCGCAGCUCGUGGCGACGGCGAUCGCCGUGUACGCCGACUGGGAGUUCUGCCGGAUCCAGGGGAUCGGAUGGGCGUGGGGAGGCGCCAUCUGGGUGUUCAGCGUCGUCACCUACAUCCCGCUCGACGUGCUCAAGUUCAUGAUCCGCUCUGCGCUCAGAGGCCAGGCCUGCAGCAAAGAACAGAACAAGGCAAGCCUCGCCGUCCUCCAUUGUUAUUGCCAUCAACGACCAUGAUCUCAGUUAAACUGUCCAUUGUUGGCUUCAAGCCUUCAACCCUGAUCUCCGUUAUUGUCGUCUUCUCCAGUGAAACAUUUCUAGGUGCUUGUCUCGCGCGGAGGGCGUUCGUGAACAAACACUCUGAGCUCGCCGAGGAGGCCGCCAAGCGCGCCGAGGUCGCAAGGUACGCGCAGGUCGUUCCAUCUCCUCGCCGGCGACUAGCUAACCAUCUCCGGCCGUCCUCAGCUCGCCGGCGAAUAGCUAGCCAUCACCAGACGCUGAUCUCGCCGGUGUUCUUGGUGCCUGCAGACUGGGAGCUGAACGUGGCGGAGGCAACGGUGGCCGGAGAGGGAGUCCUGUGUUCUUCGUUUCCUCCUUAGGUGUACAAUUUUUUCGGUGGAUUUUUUGAGCGGCUAGAGGUUUGUGAAACUGUGGUUUAUCCGAUUGGGUCUGAUCAAGUAAAUACGUACCUACGUAUUGUUGUGUUCUUAAUUCUGUACAGCUAUACAUUAUACAACGGUACGGGAAUGGUGAGGGUGUAACGUCCGUAUACGAUAUACCUAAUUGUACUUAACAUCUUGUCAGCAAAUUUUUGGUUCACUGACUUCUGGUUAUGAGUAAUGGAUGUAUACUAUUUAGUCCAGGCAUGACUAAUCUCAAACAUUUCCUACAAUUCCAAAUCCUUAAGACCAUUUGAGCUCCACCACAACAUACUUUACAGUUUACUGGUAAGUGAAUGCCAGAAUAUUUUACUGAUCUGAAACACUCUAUUCAGGAAAAAUUCACAACCUUUGAGAGGGGUCCACAGAAGAUGUGAUUCCACGACCUUUCAGAGGUUCACAACCUAAUUGUAUCUACCAUCUUGUCAGAAUUUUUUUGGUUCAUUGACUUGUACUUAUGAGAAAUGGAAGAAUACUAUUAGUACAGGCACGAAUAAUCUCAAACAUUUCAAAACCUUCCCUACAAUUCCAAUCCUUAAGACCAUUAGAACUCCACCACAGAAAACAAAUAUGGUAGACGAGAGAGAGCUGGUUCGUGAAUGCCAGAAUACUUUACCGAUCUGAAAUACUCAAUUCAUGCAAAAUUCACAACCUUUGAGAGGUUUACAGAACAAAAUUCUACUAGCUGAAAGAAACACAAAAGAAAAUUAAGAAAAGAAACGCUAAGCAAUUCAAGAAUAAUCUGAAACCCAAGCAAAUGUGGCGACGGACCUCCGUUGAACGCCUUACCAAUGCUUUCCUGGGACAGCAAAGAGACUCGCAGCUCACCCGAGCUUCAGCGCUCACAUUUGAGUUCACCACCGAAAGCAUAUGGGACUGGCACAAUUCUAGAACAGCAAGCUCAGACAUCUGAAGAAGAACCUGAGCUUACUUGCAGCGUCUGUUGCAUUGCAUGUGCCUUGACAGACUGGGAAUGUCUCGGGAUUCAGAUUUCAACAUGCAGUAGGCCUUUGUAUAGUCACUGAACUCGGAUAGUACCAUGGGUUUUGCACCAUCCUCCUCCUUGGACUUCAACUCAUCUACAAGUUUCAAGGAUAUCCUUUGAUGAACAUCCUCGAUAAAGCCGAAACAUGCUUCAAAUUUGAACCGCACAAAUGUAUUCAUUGCGAAGGCUUAAUCCCCUUCCAGCAAGUGAACUCAGAAGGUAUUACGUUUUCGUCACAGCAAAUAGUAGCUUUGGCAGUCAGCUUCCCAACCAAACCAUGAUACAAAAGGCCUCUCGCACCAAGCCCACCAACUAGCCAAAAUUUGCAGUUGCUCUUCUUGCCUACCAUUUCAUCUAAACAACCCAAAAGUGGUAAUGAUCCAUUAGUUGUUAGUGGAGGCAUGGCUCGUAUCCCAGCCCUUGCGUGUACAAAAUCCCAUUUACUUAUUCCUGGAUAAACGCCAGAAGCUUUUGGGAGCAGCUCAUCCUUUGCAGUAAGAGCUUCUUCAUCAGAUACAGUUGAAGAGUAAUUCUCAGAUUUCCAUUGCCAAGUUGACCCAAUUGAAACUGUACGGGGACCUUGGAAUGCCAUCCAUGCAUCAGAUAAGAUCGAAGGGCUCUGAUUACCGUAUUCUUCCCUGCAGGAAGUAAAUGCACCAAUCAGAUUUUUCAAACUAACGCUAUAAUGACUUUCAGCACACAGAACUUCCUUACACUGUAUCUGAUGGCAACUGGAAUUCAGCAAUAACUCCUCUACAGGUUCUAAGAGGCAACUUAUUUGCUAGUUCAGGAAGUGAGCAAGCUUUGGCCCCAAGGCAGAUGAUCACUGAAUCAUAAUCACCUGCACAUGUUUGAAGUGCCUUAGGCAUAAAUUUUUUUCUUACUGCAAUGCAAUUGCUUCAAAGAGCCAUACAAACUGUCAAAUAUAUGCAAUCCAUUAAAAUUUCUGCUGAACUGAUAAAAUUAGAAUUUCAAUUUACCGACAUCACUUAAAAUGCUUAAGUGCAGAUCAAAACUACAAAUGUACUGUUAUGUACUUAUUUCAGUUUAAGAUCAAUUGGAAGCCAAAAUGUAAAGGACAAUGCCACAAUAGAAAGUCCAAAUUAUCUGUAAUGCAAUAUCCAUUGUGCUCAUUAUAGACUACCAGAAUUUACCUGCCAAUUGGUGUAGAUUAUCGACAUGUUGCCUGUAAAGCUUGAACUCUUUCUGCUCAUUUGGUAAUGAGGAUGCUUCAUCUGCCAGAUUUUGGCAUGCCGAGAACAGUGCCUGUAAAAUCCAGGAAUGAAAUAGACCAGCCUAUCAAGUACAGAGGAUGGCAAAACAAGCGACACCAUGACAAAGCAAAGAAGCAAUGCGGCACCUGUAAAUAUUUCUUUGGGUUGAUAUUCAGUGCCAGCGGCAUGUAAACUGCAAAGUCAAAUGGAACACACAACCCAGGGAUCAGGCGCUGCGCGGCGUCAGAGUCAAGCACUUGAAGGCUGCAACUCUCGAGGCAACUCUGAGCAUUCUAUCUUGAAUAGGUCGAAGCAAUUAGAUGCGCCAAAAACACAAAAGAAGCACCUGAGCGCAUCUGCGUAAUCUUAAUUCAGCAGUACCUCCAGCAAUAUGUCAGCAGCCUUCUCAGUGGUAGGUGGCCGCACAAUUCCCCUGCUCAGUUAUUACAAAGUCUCCUUAAACAUAGACUAUAUAGACUGCAGUAGCUAUAGAGAUGAAUGAUUACCUUCUCCAGAUAAGUCUCUCGUCUUGACUAGUAGUAUCUGCCCUGGCUGUUCCAUUUGCUUGCUCUGCGCUUCGGAGGAGAUCCAUGCUCUCUUUCCAGAACUCAGCACCCCUCCAGAGAAGCUUUACUGCAGAUAAACGAAGAAUUCGUGCACAUAACGAAACUGAAUUAAGCCGGAUACUGGAUGCCAGAUCAUUCGCUGAGUAGCAUAAGUAGGGUAUGAAAGGAAUGGUUUCAGACCAUAAUUUGUGAUGUUUGAGAUGAUGGAGAGGCGGACCUUUAGGUGAGUAGGGAUGGAGAAGCCCUCCCGAGACGCCCGACGCGCCUCCCCCGACACCGUUCUCGUCGUAGAUAUCCACAGACACGCGGGAAUCUCUCGGGCUAUGCUGAAAUCGACACCGGCGUCGGUUCGGUUCAGCCGAUUCUGCUUGUGACACAGUAAAAAGGGGGAGAGAAUGGGAAGGGGGAAGCGGAGGCCUAGAGGGGAGGGUGACCUUGAGGAGGUGCCACGCGACGGAGAGCCCCGCGAAGCCUGCGCCGAGGAUGGCGUAGCGCAGGGGGCGGCGGCCGUGCCCUCCUGCCGGCGCGGGCGAGGUGGCGGCGGCUGCGAUGGUUCGCCUAGAGUAGAGGCUGAGACUGGGGAGUAGACGGGAAGGAGCCGAAGAACAAGGCGGGGGCGGCAUGGCGAACGCUCCGAGCUUGAAGAGCAAACUGCCGGCGGCGGGGGGAAGAACACCGGGCAAGGAGCGUGCACCGCUCGCCGUGCUGCGGCGGGUGAGGAUUUUUUCCUGGGGGUGGCGGCGAGGAUUCCGUGGGCCGAGCCCACCCUCAGCCCGUAGGAUGUUUCAAUCCGUAUCCGACUUUCCAGAAACUGUGUAUUGGAUUAGGCCCACUAAAGGGGCAAGAUUCGGUCCUCGAACAGCAUCAUUGGGCCUUCAAUCUCCGUUCAUCUACCACGCUCCACGCUGGAAAACCGAAGACUAUCCGUGGAGCAUUCAGCCUGGAUGCAAAGGAUUACAUGUACAGUGUACUUCGACGGUACACAAGCAUUCUAGCACAACAUACUAUACAUCAGCAACAUGCAAUACAGAGAGGUCAAUGCAACCUUCCUUGUAGUGAAGCAGCUGUUCGGUGAGCAUUUGUUACAGGUUAGGUGGAGAUCAGCACAGCUGCAAAAUCUGAUGGAGUCUACUGGCGCUACAUUAGUGCCGUCCCAACUACAAUGGUUAGAGGCUUUCUACUCCAACACAGCAGCAAACCACCAGAACGUAAGGAUCUGGAAUGGACACAGGUUCCAUUACCUUGUCCAUCUGGUUUCUCCAUUACCUCAUCAUGUUCCUCCACUUAUCCUUCAAGUCCACCUACAAUAUGCAAUCAGUUAUCACUUCAUGAAAGAUUAGCAACGGAGCAACUUCGGCGUAGCAUACAAGUACUCACUGGUGUUCUGCCGAUAAAAACAUCGGGAUUGUUACUCAAAAUAUCCUUCCAAUUACCGCUACCAUACCUGCACAUGAAACAAUUGGAAUGGGAUAAUGAGCAUAAUACAAUAAAACAGCAGAAACUGCAUAAAGAUGAUUUCAACAACACUGUAUAGAACGAUAAAGCUAAAUAUCUUCAAGCAGCAGGACAAAAUCACGUACAGUUCAACACCCUUUCUUAGUGUUUCUUCUUCUAACAAGCACCACUUCCUUGCCCUUCUACGCUUAUUUUUGUUUUCUGCCGCUGGCAAAGGAGAAACUGGUAUUCUCCUUGGGCUAGGCAAGUGCGGCCUACGUAAUGCUGGUUCUGAACCCUCAGGGUCAGGCGACUCCUCCCACUGCAAACAAGCGGAUUCUUUUUAGCGAUAUGACCAAUAUCUAAUGUUUCUACAGUUUUGCUACCUUGCUGUAAAGCUGUCCUACAGGCCAACCAAAAAGGGUUCUGACACGUGAGACAGUUAAGCUGCAGGUAUUUUUAAACAAGACUGCAGACCACAGUACAGUUUAGUUGUGAUACUGAUAAGAACACAGCCCAUCUGAUGCACUUCCGGACUGUAGUAAAGAUUGUCAAUGACUCAUUAUUCUAAUUCCAAUAGCUACCUUAUGAAUGCAGAUUGCAUCGCCUAGCAGAACAAAUUUGACCAACUAUUACAUUCUGUGACUUCAGUCGAUCAUUUCUUGUCAUGGUCAGACCAUCUUAUUCAACAAAGCAUAUACACAUAUUGUCCACAUAUUUCAUAAUAUAUCAAUAUAUGAUCAGAUUUUGCAGACAGCACAGCAAAAUGGCAGUACUCCAUAGUAGACACUUAGCAACAUAGAGAACAAACAGAAACAAUAUUGUGCACAUGACGUUUAAUACAAAAUAUUGAUAUGGCAUGACAAAUGCGCUGAGAUCAUGUAGGCUCUUCAAAUUACAAAUUACAAUGAUAAUCAAAGCUAGCUAGUAUAAUCACAAAUUUAAUAUAAUAAUCAUAGCAAGUUGAGAUCUUGACAAUUUUCAAAAAAUGGCAUGUCACAGCGGGAGGUCUAACCUGAAAGGUCCGUGCCGUUGGGUUCCAAUCCAUAAGGCUGGGAGGUGCGCCUUUAUUCGGACCAUUGUUCCUUUCAUUAAGCACACUUGGGCCUGCAGUGCCACAAGCUGCUGGUUGACCACCUUCAGCAUUUAAAUUCACUGUCCUAUUUAUCCUUGUAGCCAACACCUUAUCUGCAGCUGCCUUUGCAGCUGGAAGUGGAUCCUCCACUACACUGUGAAGCUCAGCACAGCUUGUUUUUAAAGCAUCCACCACCUUGGAAACUUCUGGCGUCGAAAUUGGAUUUACACGAGAGGUAGAUUCUUCAAGUUUGACCAGAAUCUCACGUGUUUUUUCUUCCCCAGCUGUAAGUUCCAUUAUACAUAAUCAAUUAUAGGCUAGAAGAUCAUAGCCUUAUACAGAUAAUAACCUCAAGAAAAAUAAGAAAACUGAUAUAGGAGCUAAAACACUAAACAUAUGAAUGAUGCACUUGAAGACCUAGAGCUGGCCCAAAAGACAAGAAACACAAACUUCCUCUACCAAUAUGCACAAAAAUCACAAUCAAUUACUCCCUCAGUUCCAAAUUCUUGUUCACCAUAGCUUUACCUAGAAGAUCAAAGUAACUUUGACCAAGUUUAUAGAAAAAAGCAUCAACAUGUACAAUAUAAAAUUUAUUUCACCAUGAAAUAUAUUUUGAUGACGCAUUUAUUUGGCAUUGUAGAUGUUAUUAUAUUUUCCUAUAAACUUGGUCAAAGUUAGACAUGUUUGACUUUGGACAGUCAAAGUGAUCAAUAAUUUGAAACGGAGAGCAAAAACAAAAUACACUCUAACCAAAGAUGUGAAUGGUAUGUAACGAUUGAAAUACUGCAGUAGCACACUCAAAAAUAGUCACAAGAUUAAAAUAUUGCAGCUCGGUCUAGCGUAAAUAAUACACUAGCAGAAAGAGCACACUUAGUAAAUUGCAAACAUAAAGUACAAAGCCAGUCCAGGGACCAGAAUACCAGACUCCCCUCUUGGUAUUUCCAUACACAAAACUUAAGCAAGAUAGAUUUCCAGACCUACUCACUGUUGCUAUCUUCAAUUACUUAAAAGAGAUGCACGUCUUUGGCCCUACCACCAGUGGCAGAGCUUGAUCGAAAAUUGGGAGGGGGCCAACACUUAAUAUAGCUUAGAUUACAUGAUCAAGAGGGGGCCAGUUUCAUGUUUUAGCUCCAAUUUAUCCUUGAGGCUCAAUACUAUCUAUAAAUUAGCAAAAGUGAAGGGGAGGGGGAGGGGGGGGGGGGGGGGGGCAUGGCCUAUCCUUGUCCUCACUAAGUUUUGCCCCUGCCUACCACCCUGAACUACAGCACAGAUAAAAAUGAGCUUCACUCAGAAUCUACAGACCAUAGGUCAACCAGAAGCCCAGGAUAGAAUUAUUUGACUCGUAGUGCUAUAUUAUGACAUUGGUAAAAUAGAGCAAUAACAUUGAAUUGUGGCCUGAUGUGCUGCAUGACAUUAAAAAAAGGCACAAUGCUUGUAUUUUAACUUCCAGUUCCAUCCAAGUUACUUCUAGUUGACAAGAUAACGAUAUCCACCAUGGCCCUUUGGCAAAAAGAAAAAACCUACUCCCCCCAUUCCAAAAUGUAGGUCAUUUUGGCUUUUCUAGAUACAUCAUAUAUAGAUUUUGCUAUGUAUCUAGAUAUAAUAUAUAGUUAGGUGCAUAGCAAAAUUAUGUAUCUAGAAAAGCAAAAGUGACUUACAAUUUGAAACCAAGGGAGUACAUGAUUAAAAACCAGCAUAACGAAAUUGAAUCAAUUCAGAGGCUAACAAUCAAUUUUACACAUCAAACCACAAUGCUGGGUCUGAACUAGCUGCAUUGCCAGAAAAAAGAUACUCACCUAACACACGGAACUUGGCGCGUGUGGCCUCAUCCGCGUCACGCCAGGUCCCGACGGCUACAUCCCCAACGAUCCGCUCGGCCGCCACCUCCAGCAGCGACGGCCCCAUGCCGGCCCACUCUGCUGCGAGGAGCUCCCUGACCCGCUCCUCCGCGGCGUCUCGGUCGCCCCAGAGGCCCCUGAGCACGACCUGCGAGAACGAGUUCCCAACAGCGGCCUCGAACUGCUCCACCGUGGCGACGGCGUCGUCGGAAGCGAGCGCGCGGGACCCUCCCUCGUCGACCGCGCGGCGCACGCGGCCGUCGGGGCGCGCGAAGAGCGCCGCCGCGGCGGCGUCGAAGUCCGGCGCGGAGGCCGCGAGGAAGCCCGCCACGGCGAUGUGGGCGGCGGCGAUGGGGGACGGGGACGGGGAGGGGGAGGCGGGGAGCGAGGCGAGGAGGUGGAGGGUGUCGAGCGCGGAGGCGGAGACCGGGUCGGCAGCGAGGCGGCGCAGGAGCACCGCGCGGCGGAGGCGCGGGGUCGGGUCGGAGGGGAAGGGGAGCGCGGCGAGGAGCGCGUGGGCGGCGGCUGCGGGGACUGAGGGGUCGCCCAGGGCGUGGUCCAGGAUCAGAGUCGCGUCCGCCGGCGUGAGCCGCGGCAUCUUCUCGCCGGUCGGUCGGGGGCGCUCGUGCGCGGAUUCGAGAUGGGGAGGCGGGGAACGCGGGCGAAGCGAGGGUUCAGUUGCCGGGCCGACGGGCCGGCGCGGCAGCUUUGCAAGGUUUUAGGAGAGGUCCGGGAAGAGUAGGCGGCGGUGGACUGGGGUGUGGGGAGGUGAAGCGAUUGGCGGCAGAGCAAGGCGGCGAGGGCGGAGGAACGGGGAGCGGUGAGAGCUCGGCCAUCCGCCGGCGGUGCGCCGUUCGCGAGACUCUGCGGCGCCACGGGAAGUUCGGGCGGCCUGAUCUCGAAGGCAGAGUUCUGUAGGCUAGGCCGGAGGCCUUUCUGGCAAGGGCACGAAUUUGGCCCACGCAAGCCCAUGAUGAGAACAAAAUGGGUUGGCACAAGUGGGCUGAAUCCGAACCGCCAGAAGGCAUUUGUAAUUCUUUAACCCAAGUUGAUUAAUAAAGUGCGGUGGGUCUCAAAGAAAAAAAAAAGAAAACAAAAAGGAAGCGGAGAAAGAAGACCACCCCAUCCUCUGAACAUUACUGAUCACAAGUUCUCAUGCUAGCCGGACAUGGAUAUUCCUCCUAUGCUAGGCGCCUAAUAACCAAAACUUACUGCAUCACGCCUUGGAGACAAUUAUAUGAUAAGUCAAUAGAAUUUAAUCUUUGAGCUAGGCCGAUGGAUUUUGGUAUUUCACCGCUGAUCCGGUUGUUGCGAAGAACGAGGUAGUACAACUCAGUGAUGUUGGAUAUGGUCUCUGGUAUCGCGCCUUGAAUAUCAUUGGAUGAUAGGUCGAUGAAAACCAAUUGUUUAGCUUCACCAAUGGAUAUGGGUAUUUCACCGCUGAUCCUGUUAUUUGACAGGUUUAGACUAUAAAGAAAUUGUAUCUGAAAUAUCUCUGAGGAGAUUGGGCCCUGCAACGUAUGGUUGAAGAGAAAUUUGUAUUUUUGACACUUCAAACACGUGGUUUCGCAUAUUUAACACUUCAAGAUUGACCUCGCAAAUUUGACACACACAACAUUGACACAUUGAUUUACUUGACAUUAUGCCUCUUUAAUAAUUUUAUUUUCUCAUUUUCCAUUUACUGGACUGUGAAAGGACUAAACUACCCCUUGUUACGUACCUCUCUAUCUCUAGUUUGAUCAAAUCAAUUGCCUCGCUCGGACGCGCCGCCGCCCGCCCAGAACGAUCGCGGUACUGGUGCUCCUCAUCUCUCUCCAAACUAGCGGAGUUUAGUCCUUUCACAAUCUAAUAAAUGGAAAAGGAAGAAAUAAAAUCAUUAAAGAGGCAUAAUGUCAAGUAAAUCAAUACGUCAAUGUUGUGGGUGUUAAAUUUGUGAAGCCAAUCUUUAGAGUGUCAAAUAUGCGAAGCCACGUGUUUGGUGUGUUAAAAAUAUAAAUUUCUCGUUGUUGAAUAGGGAUACCUCCUCUGGUGAGGGAAGGUUUCCAAUGGUGUGAGGAAUCGUGCUGGUGAUUCUGUUGUCAUCCAAGAAGAGCGAAUUGAGUUUUGCUGUAAAAUUGCCGAUGAUCUGCGGGAUCUUGCCUCCAACACCAUUUGAGUUCACAUUAAUCUCCAACAAUCUGGUGCAGUUCACGAGAGAAGCAAAGAAAUUGGCGAGACGACACCGGUGAGGUUGGCGUAACCGAUGAUAAGGCUAAGGGCAUGUUUGGUUUCUUUAGUCCAUGGACUAAAGUGAACUAAAGUGGCUGGCUGUUUAGUUCAUUGGACUAAAGUAUUUAAAUGCUUUUGAACAAAAACUCUUUUACCCUUAUUCCCAACCCACCUGUUACCACUGCACUGCCAAGCACCGCCCAUCUCUUCCGGCACCUCCCUCACUACCACCCCUCCGCGCCGCCGGCCUCCCUUCCUCCCUCUCCUUGCUGUCCUUGUGCUGCCCCUCCGCGCCGCCGCCCGUCGUUCCUCCGCGCCACCGCCCGCCAUCCUUCCACGCCACCCGCCCUCUUCCCUCCGGCACCUCCCUUCCUACCACCCCUCCGGGCCGCCGAUCCUGCUUGACCCCACCGACCCCUCCCUCGCCUCGCCGAUCCUGCUCGACCCCGCCGCCCCCACCGCCUGGUGGCCCCUCCCGCUGCUCCCCUGCUCCCCACCGGCGCCGCCGCCACCCCAUCGGGCUCCCCUCCCACGGACCCCUCCAUGAUCGUCAUCGUCUCGUCGCGACACCACGCCUUGGCCGCCAAGUACUCGUGGAGCAGUGGCCGCACGGCGGGAGGGAGGCUAGUGGCGGGGGUGACGGAGGGAGGCCAGCAACGACAGCGGCGGGCGAGAGAGUGGGGAGGGGAGCAACCCGCAGUGGGGGCAGGGGGGACCGGCAGUAAAUGAGGGGUAUUCCCAACCCCUUUAGUCCUACCUUUAGUCUAAGUGUUUGGGUGUUUAGUCUAACUAAAGUGCAAAUUUUAGUUCAUGGUGGGAACCAAACACCACCAAACACCCCCUAAUCACACGUCCUCUUGAGUUGCAUGUAACAUCGUACCGGUCCAAUUGCACAUCCCAUGGGAACCCCAAUCACGAAGGUCGUUGCCAUGGACAACGGAUUUGAAAGAGAGUAGACAACAGCUUGGUUGGAGCUGACAACAGCAAUGGUGAUGGCUAUGAGGGCGAGGAAUCUAGGCAUUGCGGAGAGUGCAAUGAGGGAGUAAGUACUAAUUAGUGGUAGCUUUGCUGCGAAUUUGUGGGAAGAUAGCACUAGGUAUGAAGGUCCUUGGCUUAGUUACGUUGCUCUUAGGGGGUGAAGAAAAGCUACGCCCUUGCACUGGAAGGUAGCUCUUAAUAUGGAAAUGAUCUCUAUCUUAGCAUGGAGGGGUGAAGAUAGGCUGCACCAUGGGUAGAUGGUGAUAUAAAUAGGGUGUGAAAAGGAGGAAUGAUGUGUGUGCGGCCUGGGUCAAUGCCUUUUUGACGCUCUUUUUUGUUUGCUAUGCCAUUUUUUAAAUUGCCAAGGUAUAGAAAUGGGCACUCUAAAAUCUUGGUGUGCAUAAUAUCAUGGCACAUUAGUGGUGACAUCCAACAGACAUUAUUGGACUUUUGUUACACAUGCUAUUAUCGUGUUCCAAACAAAGUCUUAACAUGAAAAAGAUCUCCGCGGUCUCCGUGAAGCAUAUCCCUUGGAAGUAUUAGACUUGGAGGUUUUCUUAUGAUUUUAUUUGAAGUUUCAAUAUGAUAUAAGAUGUAAAAUUUCCAUGAAAUACCUAAAGGCCUCGAUAUAGCCAAGCGCCCUGGUGGCCAUGCAUUGAGCCCGGGAGAUAUGAUCAAAGAGCCUUGGAGAUGAAAUUCUUUGUCUUCACCUUCUCACUUCCAUGCCACUCCAAUUCCGUGGUGGUCCAUUGCUUUUUUGACUACCUUUACUUUGGAGUUAUACAACAUACGACCCAUUAUUAGAUUUUUUUUUUACCACCUUUCUUUCUUAUUAUUGACCUUGUUUAGACUAUUAUGCCUUCCUCUUGUUAUGUUUUUUAAAACAUUUUCACCAUGUGUUUUUAUUAAAAAAAUAGAUGAUCUUUUGAUAGUUUUGGGAAAAUAUUCUUAAUAGUUUUCGGGGGAAAUUGGUAGAAAGUUUUCCAUAGAGUUUGAAAGAAAAGUUUACAAACCCUUUAAAUUUUUGGGUAAAAGUCUUUUCAAAGAUUUAGGAUAAAUCAUUUUCUCUCGAAAAGUUUGGAGAAAGGAUUUUAUAAACAUGUCUUAGAAAAACUUUCUAAAAAGAAAGGAAAGACACAAGGGCAAAAUGUUUUUAAAAAACAAAUAGACGGAAACUGUCAGAUCUUCCAUGAGUUGAUUGCUGGUGCACAUGCACAGAUUACUGAUCAAUAGAGCGUGCUCCUGUGCAUACAAACAAGAAGCGAUCCCCGUCAUCCUAACUUCAUCACGAAACUCAAUUAAAACAUCAAGUAUAGGAGCGUCAUGGUGGAAGGGCCUUGCAAGAUUUUGGUGGAGAUUGAAACGUGGGUUAGGCCAGAUAACACGCAAAAGUCAAUAAAUUAACUUUGAAAAGUCAUAUUGGAUGUGGACGUGCAGCAUGGUGGCAUAACCAAGCACCAGGACAAAAGUUGACUAGCAUACAAUUGCUCUUAUUAGUGUGUUGUACAACUCUAAGAGUCUCUCAAAAAAUUCUCCACCAAAACUAUGUAUUAAGGGUUCUUCUAAAAUUUUAUUUCCCCAAAAUCAUAUCAUUCCACAUCAUAUCUCCAAUACUAACAUCCCCAUUAUUUCAAAACAGGCCACAUCAGCAUAAAUGGACCCAUCAGUUGGGCCACCCUAACCUCCCCCUCACGUGAACUCCCCCUCACGCACGAAUCACGAUCUACUCUCGUUCGCCAUUCCAGCGUCGCCCAUCACUCUUGCACCGUCGCCCCUUCCCAGUAAAGUUGCUGCUGGAUUGUACGAUUGCAAUUGGAGAUAGAUAAAACGGAUUCGUUAUGAGCUGGCGAAGCUUAUCCACGAAACUAGCGCGGCACAGAUCAUCAUGCGAUAAAGAAGUUGCUUGGGGGGGAUUGGGGAGGAGGGAGCUCGUGAAAACAUGCGGGGCGACAGAGGCUCGAUUCGCGUUGACAUAAUUUUGCGGCGUGUUUAGGGAACUGUUGGAGGCUCUUUUUUUUUUCCUUUUCUCCCUAAUCGCAUGGGCGGAGCCAGCUGGAUUUACCUAGGAAUUUUGCCAAAACUUCAAGUAUCUAUAAGCCAUAUACAUCUAUAUACUUGUUAGGUAAGCUUAUUUCUUCUUCUCUCAAGCAAAUCUGAGUACAAUUUUGUUCUUAGGCCCAAUCUUCUUCUCUAGUUCCUCUCAGUCUACCCUCCUAAUCAACCAUCUUCACUUCCUAGCGCGUGACUCUAGGUGGGAAGACGGACGCGAGCCACCGAGGGUGGCGCAGUUAAACUGCUUGGUUGUAUCAGUCCGAUGCAGUCAUGCAGGUAACUUGAAGUUAGUGCUAAUCUACUGAAAAUAGAAUAUUGUAAUGUGUAUGUAGAAGCUUCGCCUGCACUUGCUGGGUAGAACGAUACGAGGCUAUCAUAGGUGUGAAAAUUUAUUUCCCUGACACGCCUACUGUUGCAGUGAUAGAACUGAAGCAACAUGCUCAUUGAUAGCUUCAGCAAUUAAAGAACCUUGUGCAUCUCCCGGAGCCCGCAUUGUUGAUUUGGAUGUGUUGUUUGUUUUGCAAAGCUUGAUGUCAAAUGAGAGAGCACCCCAGUUGUACGUCUUCAGACCCAGCAUAGGGUGAUAACUAGGGAACGACAGGACGAUCCCGCUGAGGACAACACCAAAUGCUUAAAGCUCUGAAGCAAUGCCAUUUUCUUUAAAAACUUCUGUAGCUUUUCAGUUGUUGAUAUAUCUGUAGUUUGAACAAUUUAUCUACUCUAUUAAUCCAUGGUGCAAAUGCAUUUUUUUUCCUUGAAUUAGAGUAAAGAUGACUUGACAAAUGGGACUACCCAACUUCUACAUCUGGCUCCGCCACUGACUCCUCGAAACCUGAGCCUAAUAAUCCUCACGUCACGUACUAGGCACAGGAGUUGGAAAAGACUCAACGGAGUUACAAAUCGGUCGUCAAGAAAUUAGGUGAUGGAAGAGGAUCGAAUACUCGAGUGUCAUUUAGCUUUUCUCUAAAGAGAAAUAUCAAGACCAUAAAUGCGCAACUGUAGCGUUUCGUUUGUAUUUGUGAAUUAUUAUUCAAAUAUUGACUAAUUAGGCUCAAAAGAUUUGUCUCGCGAAGUACAACAAAACUGUGCAAUUAGUUUUUGAUUUCAUCUACAUUUAGUACUCCAUGCAUGUACCGCAAGUUUGAUGUGAUGAGGAAUCUUCUUUUUGCAUAGUGUUAAAGUUGGGAGUUUGAAGGGAACUAAACAUGGCCCAAGUUAAGGGCUGUUUGCAUACACUCUCCUAAACUUUAGUGCUUGUCACAUCGAAUGUUUGAUACUAUUUAGGAGUAUUAAAUAUAGUCUAAUUACAAAACUAAUUGCACAGAUGGAGUCUAAUUCGCGAGACGAAUCUAUUAAGCCUAAUUAGUCCAUGAUUUAGCAAUGUGGUGCUACAGUAACCAUUUGCUAAUGAUGGAUUAAUUAGGCUUAAUAGAUUCGUCUCGCGAAUUAGUAUAGAGGUUUUGCAGUUAGUUUUAUAAUUAGCUCAUGUUUAGUCCUCCUAAUUAACGUUCGAACAUCUGAUGUGACCCUCCUAAAGUUUAGCACCUCGUAUCCAAACACCCCCUUAGGUCUGCCACUAAAUGACUCAAUUCGAUGGCAAGAUAAAUGGACUUGUACCUGAUGGGCCAGGCUUUCCAUAUCUGCUUCUUUUGACAAAGGGGGCGCUCUAGACCGUUAGCCUAAACUUAAUUUAUACUAGUCUCUACCGUAACAUGUAAAAUUGUGAGAUUUGAACCAAUAAUACAAACGUGUUGAUGCAAAUUUAGAUCCAACACACGAAAGUACUCGAACGUGCAACCCGCAAAGACGCUUCUUGCUGCAUCGAUGCGGAGGCCAAUCAGACCGGUAUGGCAGGUCGGUCAGAUCGGUCUCGCCGGGGAACCUAGCGAGAGACCAACGAACGUCCGUCCGGGAGGAACCCCGUCAGGGCAGUCACCUUGGGUUGCCCUAGGCUCGGCAGGCCAGGUAGGACACCUCCUUAUGCCAUGGAUACAGAAGAAGAACAGCGCAUGGGGUUGGAAAAGUGGGGUAACGAGGUAGAAAGGUAAAAUGAUAAAAGAUAGAUUGGUUUUUGAUCGAUUGGAUACCCUCAAUCGACCAUGGCUCUUUAUAUUUAUAAGGAGGGGAGAUCUUGCCCCUAAUAGAGUCGAAAUCCUAACAAAACUCAUGCAAAAAUAUAACUCCUACUUGAACUCCACAGACAAAAACGGUCUGAUUGGUUCCAUCAGACCUAUCUCCUCAGGGGUAGAUCUUCCCGAGGUCAUAACUCUCUCAUCCGAACUCCAAAUCGGACGUUCUGUAUAUGAAUUAUGAUCUACUCGGCGAGAGCUACACAAUGGUGAAGUCCAAUUUACAUUUGGAGUACUUUGACCAAACCGGUCGACCGGUUGGGAGACUGGUUCAGAGACCUGAUUGUUCAGAGCUGCUAAUUUUGACCUCAAACACAUGCCCCCCCUUUUAUGGCAAAGCUUGCGUGCCAGAAAACAUUCUCAAUGAUCAAAAUUGUCUAAGGACAAUGAUAGAUAUUACAUCGCCCAUAUGAUGGUCUCCAAACCCUUUAUGGAUGCUAAUGUAGCCGAAAUAAUAUUCCAACAAGUACAACAUCAUAUGACACAUCAACUUUCGACUCUGAAACAUCUAAAUAUAUCUAAUAACUGAAAUCUUGAUGUGGCCAUGGUGACCAACUAUGGCUCCUUGGUAAAUAAUAAGCAUAAUAUUGAUAAUUAUAAAAUGAAGAUCAAGGAUUAUACCAAAACCAUGGAUUAUAAUUAGAUAUACCUGAAUACGCACUCCACGACAUAUGAAUCGACGGAAUAAAUGAUGAAGACCAAUGAGAGGACCAUUGAUGCUUUUUUGCCCUUAGUGAUGAAGAAUCCCUAUUUGAUUGUCUCCGCAUCGAUUGUUUUUCUGCUACUCGGCUAUUUUCUGAUAUUUAUGUAACAAUUCAGCAAAGCUUAGCUUCUUCUUCAUCCCUUUGCUUCUUGUUGUGAGACUUUCAGCACUACCAAAAUUUUUGGCAAGACCGGUCAGACCAGUUUGAGCACCAGUUAGACUAACCCUUAGAACCAAUCACUUCGAGAUCAUCUUGCCCCCCAGCCAAACUUGAUUGUUGUUCAACAAUGUUAUUUCAAACAUACUCAUCAUUGGGGACAACUUGAUCAAUAGAACUAGCCGAUGAUUCUUCAAUGUUCAGCUUUUCUAUGUCUAGUGUCAAAUCUGAAUUUUGAUUUAAUCUACCAUCCUUUUUGACAUGAUAGACUUGUUUCAUCACCUUACGCUUAUUUUUCUAUAUAGAUCAAUUCUUUUGAUCAAAACAGUCAUUACGUGUAGGUGCUUCCUAAAAGUAAUGUAAUCUGGAAGGAAAUAUCUAGGAUGAGACGGCAUUCACGAAUUAUAAGACCAUGGACAACAAGAAUAAUGCAUAUUAAAAUAAGCUUCCCAUGGCAUAUGUAAAGGUGAUCCAUAUGAUGGAAACGGCAUUGAUACGUGAGAAUUAGUCCAUUGCCGAUUCUGAUCAUGGAACUUCUGUUUUGGAAAAGAUUUUGAAUGCUUGGAAUUCUUAGAUCGACUAGCAUCAUUGAUAUCAUUUUGUCUUUGGGACUUAACCGGAAGCUUCGUAUUGGGCUUCAGCUUUCCGUUUUGAUGCUCGCUACGGCCUUUGGAUUCAACGGUUUUCCAAACACCAAUUUCGAGUUUCUUGGGUUUAACCAUCUUUGAUUUUGAUUUAUUUUGUGAAAUCCUGGAAGAAGCGGUUAGACCAGUUUGCAAAUCGGUCAGACCGGUUGCGGCACAACCAGCACCUUUGCCUUUGUUUUGUUGCCCCCCUCCCCCAGCGUUGAAGUACUAGAUAUAGUUUGUGUGCUCUUGCUAGGGGAUUUUGAGUCAACAACUUCGGCUUGAUACUACCGACUUGUUUCUUGACCAACAACAUCACAAGUUGGUAAAUUUUUGCAAGGAUCAAUAAUAGCAUUAGCCGGCUUUUCAAUAGCCAACUUUUGACUAAGAUGAAUUGAAUCUGAACUAUCCUCUUUAUCAAUCGGAGACUUGAGAUAAAAAUUCACAAUGUCAAGUACUUGAGGAUUGCAUCUCUUUCAAUGUGUCGUGGUGGACGGCGGCUACAACUCCUUUAUCUUGAUGACGCCUUGAUCGGUUAGACGGUAACAUGAUAGAAGCAACUUUUCAGCAGCUAGAUCGCCAAUAUUCCAUACGGAAUUCUUUACAUGACAUCAUGUUGCUAGGGUUUGAUGGAUCAGCCAUGACGGCUAGAUUCUUCUUCCCCAACGGAGUCGUCAAAAUGUGUUGAUGCAAAUUUAGGACCAACACAUGAAAGCACGUUUUCGAACGUGCAGCCCACAAAGACUCCUUGCUGCGUCGAUGCAGAGGUCAGACCGGUCUCGUCGGGGAACCUAGUGAGAGACCAAUGAACGCCCGCCCGGAAGGGACUCUGUCAGCGCAAGCGCACCUUGGGUUGCCCUAGGCUCGGCAGGCUAGCUAAAGCGCCUCCUCAUGCCAUGGAGACAAAAGAAGAACAACAUAUGGGGUUGGAAAAGUAGGGUAACGAGGAAGAAAGAUAAAAUGAUAAAAGAUAUAUUGGUUUUUGAUCGAUUGGAUACCCUCAAUCGACCGUAACCCUUUAUAUUUAUAAGGAGGGAGGUCUUAUCCCUAAUGGAGUCGAAACCCUAACAAAACUCGUGCAAAAAUACAACUCCUACUCGGACUCCACAGACCCAAACCGGUCUGACCGGUUGUCCUUAGGAGCAGAUCUACCUGAGGUCAUAACUCUCUCAUUCAAACUCCAAAUCGGACGUUCUAUAUAUGAAUUUUAAUCUACUCAACAAGAGAUACACAAUUGUGAAGUCCAAUUUACAUUUGGAGUAAUUUUGAUUGGGACGGUUCAGAGAUCUGAUCGUCCGGAUCUGCCAAUUUUAAUCUCGAACACAUUAAUCAGGUAUACCUCCGAUGGCUGUCAUAAUAGUUCGACCUGCAAAACCUUUCUCCACCUGUCGAGCUUCAUUUGUUAUUUUACAGCCGUCAGAAAAAUUCACCAGUCGGCACACGAACCAAGCUUCAUUUCUCAUGCUCGUCAGCAGCAGUCAGAAAUUCAUGCAACGAACAUUCCCCUCCACCGCCAAUCGUCCCGCCGGUGCCGCGUUCGCCGGAGCUCAGCAGGUCGUCGAGGGGGAGAUCGAGGCGGCCGCUAAGCGAGGAAGAAGAAAAGGGUCGUACCUUCCGCAGUUCGUCAGCGCCGAUCAAUCGUGACCGCACAAGUCCGGUCCGAAGGCUACGAGGCACCCUGGGGUCGUCGGUAAUCCAUUAUUUACCGUCCGGGGCGGGUUGUUAUCUCGUUUACCGACACCCCUGGGAUCGCCGCCUCGCUCGCCGGAGCGCCGCCGCGUUCCACGCCGUUGGCUGCAUUAUCCUCUCCCGCUACUAUGCACGGAAGCAUCCGGGAGCUCGGUACGUACGCCUCGGCUCACGGAGUGGCGAGCUCUUCCCCGACCGGAGGGCCUCCGAUGGAGUUCGCCGUCUGCACGGAGGCGAGGAACGACGGCGGACAGCGGGGUGGUUUUGCCGGCGAUGGGUUCUACCUCUCUUCUUCUCUCUGCAGCUGCCGUUCUCGUCUAGUCCUCUGGCACGGCAAUGGAGGAAUGCUUCGAUCGUCCCAAGUUUAGCCGGUGGCUCUCACGGUCACGCACUGAGAGUGUUGUUUGUAGUUCUGAAGGUAACUACACAACAUCUGAAUUUGCUGUGGGCUUUCUUCACAUUGAACUCUGGUGUGCAUUGCAAUUGGAUGAGAUCGAUCCAUCAACCCAAAUGUUGCGGGCAGCAGCUAGCAACGGCUGAAAAUUGUAGCUUUAUUCAGCAGUCGAGUUUCAUCGCUACGUACUACUAUCUUCCAAUCGUCAGCACAGAACAUCACCAACCGAGUCAAUCAAGCAAGAAAGCAUCAUUCCCAAGAUUCUCAAGCAACCGUUAACUGACAACAAACGUUGCUUUGUGCAACGAAAUUUGACUGCCAUCAGGCAUUACUCUGAAACAAGAAACACUGAUUAGUGAUGACAAACACACCCCUAACCGGAAGAGAGAUUCGCAGUAAUGCCUUAGGUCAGGUAGCGAAACGUUGGUACUUUAGGAAGCAAUCGUGAUAGUACAAUUCACAGGUUGGUUUCAGUUAUGCCUCCUUUUCACGUCCUUUUCACGUCAGGAUGAGGUCACAACUUUUGUAUUUUUGCGGGGAUGCAUCGCAAUCAAAAGAGUACAAACGUGGCGGGUUUCAUUUGGAACACAGCAGAAAACUUCAAGCUUUUUGCAGAAUAUACUGUAUUCUUUCUGCUUCUGCACGAUUUUCAGUUGAAAUCCUCAAGGCUGCUCAAACAGCACUUCUCCUGAACGGCGCUGCCACAUUAAAACGCACAGGAUCGAAAGACGGACCCACGACUACGAGUACACAGAGAUUCGCAAACUAACCCUGCUACAACACCUCAUGUACAUGCUCACGGUCCACUCUUACAUUACGCCAUUACAUGUUUCCAUGGCCCAGUAAAAGCACGACACAGGAAGCAUCAAUCAUCCACCGACUCUAUAAGGACGCCACGUUCUCUUUAUCUAUCCUCACCUUAUUUUCAUGUACAAAAGUCAUGGAACCUCCCCAUGUUGCAGAGGUGAAAGGCCGCGGAACGUUAUGGCGCGAGCUGCGGCAUCUAUUUCUGUGGUUGGGCCUUGGUAGGAGAAGCCGCCAUGGCGCGCAGGCUAUUGCCGACCUCCGUGAAGCUCGGCCUCUCUGACGGCUCGGCUGCCCAGCACUGCUCCAUCAACGCCCUCCACUGGGGAUCGCAGGACUCAGGCACCCGAGGACGCAGCGUGUUGUUAACUAUCCCACCUGAGUGAAAGCGUGUUUAGAAACAAGAAUGGCAUUGGACUCCCCAUGUGGUGGGAAACAAUAACAGCUUAAAUUGUGAGCAUACCUAUGAUGGCACCAUAGUGCAGCUCGGCGUAAGGCUCUUCACCAGUAAGUAGUUCCCACAUCACGAUUCCGAACGAGAAAACAUCGACCUGCACUCGAAUUAUAUGAAGGUCAUUCAGGGAAACAGGAGUAUAUUUGUCCAGAGGCAGCUCAAAGAAAGUGAAGGUCGCAUUAGUUCCAAAGAAGCAACGGAAUAAACCUUUUCAGAAACAAGGCUGCUGCUGCCAUUCAACAGCUCAGGGGCCAUCCAAGGAAGCGUUCCUCGCACUCCACCAGAGAUCAGCGUCUGGCAUUUAACCUUCGAUAAGCCCAAAUCACCAACCUAUAAACAAAUAGGGCAGCCACCCUGAUAUCAGAGAUGUCUAAUGUGCUGUUCUUCUUGUGGUGGAGCCAACAGUUCUCUAUACAAUUACAUACUUGAUGGCAAGUCAAUAUAUCUUUGAUACAACCCUUCAAAGAUCUCAUGUGCCCUGACCUCUUACCAAUAGCCAUAUGAUUGUGCUUUACACAAAAUUAAGGCCAUAUGUAUGUUGUACUUUGACUAAUACGAGUAAAAGUAGAUUGAGUCUUGCUUAACCAUCUACUGCCUUAAACAAGAAGUCUAUAUGAACGUUUAAACAAAACGCACAAGUAUCAAAGAAGCAGCAUUACCCCUACUAAAUACCAAAGCGCAAGAAACAAAUUAAGAUUUCACUUAACGUACGAGAGCGGAGCUUUGCUAGCUAACAUCACAUCCACUUGUAUGGCAUAAGUUCUUUAAUUUUCUGUACUUGGUCGAUAAUUUAAGAAAUGAGAGAAUGAAGACAAGCACCUUGCAUAUAGGGCGUUGAGGAUCUCUUAGGUUGACGAGCAGAUUAUCACUCUUUAAGUCAAAAUGCACAAUAUUCUUCCCAUGCAAAUACUCCAUUCCAAAUGCAACAUCCAUUGCAAUUAGUAGACGCCUACGCCGAUCGAAUAUCCUGCUGAUAGAAUAAAAUGAAAUUAGAGGUGACAACAUAUGAAAAGCAUCAUGUUCUGUCAUUGAAAAGAUUAGUUUACUUUUCAUGUCUUUGCAAUGCUUGUCGUAGUGAACCAUUAGCCAUGUACUCAGUUACAGUUGCAACGGAUCCACCAGGCCCAUCUAGAACAACACCAUAAAAGGCUACAACAUUUGGAUGGUGCAGAGAUGCAAGCUUGCCAGCUUCAUUCCAGAAAUCAGUUCUCUACAGACACGAGAAGUUAGAACAUUAUGCGUUCAGGUCAGAAAAACACGGUAAGUUAACUGAAUACCAUGCGCUCUUGCUCAGAAGCCUUCCCAGCAAAGCAUCGAUCAUUGAUUCUCUUAAUAGCAACAUCAGAACCUCUCCAUUUCCCAUGAUAAACUGUACCAAAGGUCCCAGAACCCAGUUCACGCAAUUCUUCAAGAUCACUGUUCUUGAUUAUCUGCAAUUCACAAUGUAGAGAAAAUAAGGAAAAUGCAUUUGAAUCCACAAUAAAAGGUGUACAUUAAAAAAUCAAAAUUAAUUUGACAAAAACCUGAAGGUUGUCGAUGUCAUCUAAAACUUGAACUCCCUGGCUUGUUUUGUCUGACUGAUUGUUACCCUCAUCCUGAACCCAAAAUUAAAGCAAAAAAAUUACACCCUGUUACAGAACAACGAGUUAGACCAGCAUAAAUGGAAGCAUCUCUCACCUUAACUUUUGCAUCAACUACUGCUCCAUGUGAAUCUAUGUGAUCACCAGAUAAUGCAGCUGGUUUUUCUGGAAAGGGUGACUGAAGAACUGAUGCUGCCACCCCUUCAGCAACAGCUUGUAAUUGUCGCUUAAUAUUUUCCUCACCAAAUCCUGUCAGAAGAGAAAAGGAGAAUUAGGAGCAAAACAAUUUACUUAGUCAAUUGUUGAAAUGAUAUUGUAAACUACUUCUCAAUACCCAAAUAGUACAGAACGACAAAGUAUACCAACCUUUGUUCACUUUAAUCGUGUGGAUAUCCUUAAACCCUGGGUCCUGAAUGUGUGGAAGAUUCCCUUCUUCUAAGAGUAUGGGACCAUUUGCGUUGAUAUCAGGAACAUGACCAUCCAUGUAUUGAUCUCCAGAAGCAAGAGGCUCUUUAGCUAGCUUGCUUGGCCUUGGAGGAACUAAAGAGACAUUUCCCACUGCUUUCCAAGGAUCCUGGUUUGAGAAAAGUGAAUCUGUGUAAGCUAGUUCCCGUGUAGCUUCAACACGAUCAAUACCAGCAGUAGCCUGCAAUGGGAAGUUACUGCUGCCAUCAGGGGGAGCAGAGACCAAGUGACCAAGCAUUUCCCUAGGAAGCUGUGGAGGUGGCCCAGCAGGAACAUGAACACCAGAGUAAGGUGGUCGGACAGGAACCUUUUCAUUGGAAACAGGUGGCUCAAUGGGCGCUCUAAGGUUGUUCUGGACUGGCACAUUGAGUGGAUUCUGGAUUAUGUCAGGAUGAACACUUUGUGCACCAACAUCAAAAGCAGGUGGUGGUUGUUCACUAUGCCUUGCAAUGUUGUCCUCUUGGGUCAAAGCAGGAGCAGUGAAGGCAUUGGUAAUCCCCAUAUGAUACCCUCCAGCUUGAGAUUUGUACAUAGAACUACCGUCAAUAUUUACAGGUGGCUUCUCAGCUUUUGCAUGGUCAAUGGUACCAUGAGGAAAAGAAGGCUUUCCUUGAACACUAGAUUCUGGAGGGGCAAUAGGACCCAAAUGAACUCCUUGCAUACGGGCAUCGAUAGCUCUGGUAUAAUCAUGAGGAAGAUCACGAGCAUAUUCUCUAAGCGGUUCUGCUGCUGGAUAGUUUGCAUUCUUGUAUGCACCGGCAUCAAUGACUUGCGGGCCAUUAACUGGAACUUGUUGUGGUUGCAAGCUAUAAGAGUAUGGUUGCUGCUGGUACCUGGCAGGAUCUUCAACCCCGGCCUGAAUAGGAUGACCCACAAAUGCUCCAUUUGGAGCAGGUGGACUAGAAACUGGUAAGGCAACCAUGGUGGGUUGAACCGGCACACCUGCAUCUGGAGAUGCAGUUGCCUGGACUCCAGGCAUUCUGGCAGGGAGUACGGACUCAAAUUGACUCAUCCCUACUGCGUUCCCAGCUCUCGGUUCUACCAUAUAAUUAGCAGGAGUUCCUGAGUUCGCAUCUGGACUGGAUUUGUUGGACCCACUAUCUUGAUGCAGGCUGUAAAAUACCGGAGCUGCCUCAGGGUUGCUCAGUGCACGAGGAUUUCCCCGCUCCUGGAUAAUGUUAUCCGAAUGGGCGUGCGGCAAAGAUUUCUGGCACAUUGUGCAAUCAUCAUACCUCACUGAUGGAACAGUGGCCGAGCUAAGCACCACAGGAAUCGUCCCUGAGCUUGUCACCACCGGUGUGCUUAUUGCGCUUGUCAUCGCCGGUUGAACACCGUAUCUCUGCGUAUCACUUGUCUGCAAAUGCACAGAAGGCAAAGGAGGAAGCUGCGACAGUGGCGUCUGCAGCACCCGGUAACUCUGAUCAACUGGAGCUUGCACUGUCCUUGUGAACUGCAUGUUCUCCUGAACAGGUUCUACACCAGCAGAAACAGGCCUGAACGUACCGACUUGUUGAGCAGCAGCGGUCGCCAUAGAACUCGUCACUGGAAUGCUAGGCAUGAACUGGCUCAUCUGCACAGGCACAAAAUUGACAGAUUGCGGCACACCAUGAACACCAAAUUGUUGCGCAUUGAUGUAGUGGACUUGCUGCGGUUCUAUAUACGACUGCGGCAUCUGCUGCUGAUACGAAGCAGACUGAGGCUGCUGGUGCGGCACAUAUUGGGCGACUUGAGGCGGCUGCUGCUGCUGCACAUAGCUGGUGACUUGAGGUGGCUGCUGCGAUGUCGCAUAAGCAGCAGCAGCAACAUGAUGAGGCUGCAUCGUUGAUGGCUCCGUCCUAACUAGGAUAGGAUUUUGCGCUGGGAUGCCCAUGGCCGGAGCCGACAUGGUGACGGCACUGGUGAACCCCACCGAAUCCGGGAAACCACCAUGGUAAUGGGCUCCACCUGAAUACGUGUACUCAGUCGCAACGGAAGGAGGCGGCGGUCCCGCGUGCGGCGACAUACCUUCGACAAGGCCGCUGUACUCUGAGGCCUCGGAGUUGUGCGCGGACGAGCCGGCGCUGGCGACGCUGUCCUUGCGGCGCAUGGCGGCGGCGACGGCCUCCGCGGAGACGCAGUUGAUGGCGUCGAUGUAGCGCUGCCCGGACUCGUCGACGGGCGCGGCGGCGGCGGCGGAGGCGAGGUGGUGGGACCCGGAGCCGGAGCCGCCGCCGCCCGCGGCGUCGCUCCCGGUCCCUGAGGCCGGGAAGAGGAAGACCCGGAGCUUGGCGGAGCCGUCGGGCGCGGCGGCGGCCAGCUUCUCGUACUCCUCCAUCAUGUUGUCGUAGUCCUCGGGCCCGGAGACGGAGAUGAGCGCGUCGAGGUCCUCCCCGGGGAGCUGGUACCGGAGGAGCACCCCGCCGCCGGCGCCGCCGGGGGACGCCGCCUCGUCCACCGCUUCGACCUUCCGCAGGAGCUCCCCGAAGGAGGCGGCACGCGGGACGGAGAUGAGCCGCGUCUGGCCCCCCACGUACCGCAGCGCCCCAUCCCCUGGCCGCGGCGCGAUCCGGCCACCGAAGCUGCACAUCAGCUUCACCUUCCCCACGCCACCCGACCCCGACUCGUCGGCCUCCCCCCACCCCCUCGCGCUCGGGCUGCUCGGGUCCCCCGCCGACGACGCCACCCCGCCGCCCCUGCUCGCCAUCACCGCCGCGCUCCAACCUAGGGUUCUGGUUCCCUCCCUCUCCCUCUCCGGGGGCCGGCUGGUGCUCCCCGCUCCGUGCAGGUGGCGAGCGAAACAGAAUCCGCGAAGGCGGAGGCGCGACGUGAGUCUCGCUCGGCCGGGCCCCGGGGGGUUUUCCUCUCCCUUCCCACUUGCCCCUGGCGCUGCCACUCUCCCUAUCUCUCGAUCGCGAACGCGCUCGGCUCCACUGCGGCGGGCACCGAACCGAAUCGCGGAAUCGGCGGUGGGGAACGGGCGGACGUGCGGUGGUGGGGGGUGGGGGUCGGCCUCUGCGGGAUAAGUUCUCGGGGGGGCCUCGCCCUCCCCGCUGCAACUUCGUGUCUGACCGGCGCGGGCUUCGCUUCGCUUUCGCCGUGACCACCAGCCUGGGCUAACCACGACCGCUUUUGCUAACGGGACACGGGCGCGGCGCGGCCUUAAACGCGCGGGGGGAUUAGGAUUAGGCGGCCGCGGCCAUCGUCGGCGGCGCAUCGCAAUCGUGCGGCCGAGGCGUUUAGCUGUGUUUAAAUCCGGGAGAUCGGAGAGCAAAUAUCUCGGCUCGAUCACGCGGACGUUAGCUAAAGCCAUUCGUUUCCUGAACAAUAAAUGAACUGCCACGUAAAUAAUUUUGAUGACAUGACAUACUAUUUAUAAAGUGAGAGAAGAAAAUAAUUUCGUGGGAAUGAAAUCAUGUGCAAACUGAUUUCAAGAUUUUUGUCUUGCAUAUAGUCUUGGAAACACUAAAAAUGAAACUAUGUAUUGUGAACUACUCUCUCCGUCCUAAAAAAUACACGUGAAAAGGUCAAUGUUAGUGAAAAAUUACAUAUAUACCUCUAUGAAGAUGUAAUCAUUGCACUUUGGAAGGAGAAAAAGGAGAAAAAGAUAAGUUAUGUGAUCCAAUUUCUAAAUAUGCACUUAUUUUGGGAUAAAUUUUGAAGUAGAAAUGUAUUUAUUAUGGGACGGUAUUUCUUCUUGACGCGGCACGGAAACCAAGAAUGGCCUAACACGCAACGCGCCGUAUCUAGCGGCUGGCUGGGAUACCGUGACAGCGCGGUGUUGUCUACUCGGCUGGAUCGGCGUAUCUGAGGCUGACCGGCGGGUCCCGCGUGAGUUUGUGCACAGAUUAGAGUCGAUGGGGCUGGUGCGUGCUCUCGUGUUGACUUUUCGUAAUCUCGGGGUUACUUUUGAGGCAGCCGACAAAACAUCUACGCCUCGAGUAUUCAGAAUACGUUUUGUCUAGGCUCGAGAAUUCAGAAUACACCGCCAGAUACUGUCGGUUCCUCCCUCGAUGCUCAUUGUCAACCACACCUCGACCUAAGGCCAGUGGAAGUUUUAUAGAGGUUUCAUGCACAUUAAAUACGAUGAUACAUCAGCAUAUGUGAUGAUAUGACAUGGUAGUUAUGAAGUGAGAGAGGGAAGGAGUUUGAUCAGGAUGAAACUGUGUAUACACUGUUUCCAAGACUAUGAAAUCUAUUGAAACUUGCAUUGUGGGCUAUAGAGUUUCAUUUCAUCUAACCAUAUCCAAUCACAUGCCUCACAAUUAAAUGUCAUGGGCAUCCUAUAAAAUCGUGAAAUGAAACUGUGCACUGGAACUCCCUAUUUCAUUCAUGAGAAUACACCUCACGGGAUGAUGUGGCAUCCUUAAAAAUAGUGCAUGCAAUGAAAUCUUACACUGGGACUAGCCUAACUUGCACGCAUUUCGCGUGAUGAACCAGCGGCUUGCAACACAGGUAGGUAGGUAAAACACAACACAAAGCUAGCAAAGUUUGUAACAAGCUGGAAAAAAAAAAGCGCAAUGCAAAUUGCAAGGCUUAAAAAAUGUGUAGCAUCCUGUGUAUUGGACUAUGCCAAAGGAUAAAUAAAACUAAACUAGCUUUGCCAGGCGCGAGGGCCUCACACAAACACAGAGUUCGACACAUGUCAGGCCGUGAUGUCAUGCCUCCCAUUAUCUAAAAUUGCCUGUCACGCCUCAUUCGAGAUCGCGGUUUCUAAACAAAUCCUAAACCCCAUGUUAGCCGACUGGUCCCCCUGUCUGCCGAGGAGCACUCUCUCCCACGCCACGCUCCCCAUGGUCAGACAUCCCUGAAACCCCCCCAUUCCAACUCGAUGCGUCGUGGGGUCAAGCAGCAGACUGUACAAAGCGGGGCCUAGCGAACGAACCGGGGCGUGGGUGGCGCCCGUUGCCGCGGUGCCGCCAGCGCCCGCCGCGGCCGAGAACGUGGACAUCUCGCGUUCUAGUCCGUAGGAAAAGUGCUUCGGGGCGAAGGCAAGCGUGGGGGGCGCCGGCGCAGCGGCGCGUGGCGGGCGGCGCGUGGCGACGCGUGCGGGGAGCCGGGCGAUAGAAAAAUGGCCGCGCAGGUGACAUGUCGAGGCCGGGGCUCCGCUACGUGUCCCGGCUGUCCGCGCCCCUGCGCGCGCUAACGGUCUGGCCGUCCGGGUGUCGCACCUCGCACGGUCGGACACGGCGGGGCCAGGUUGGAAUCUUGGGCGGUGUGCGCCGUGUUCUUCUUUGUUACCCUUUGCAAACUCGAACGGAUCGAAUGUGCUCAAUCGGUGGGUAGGUACUGACGUGGCGCACUUGUUUUUCCCUUCACAGUUUGAUGAAGGAGAUGCAGGAUUUGCUCACUGGUGGCCGAGCAUGGAGGAGCUUCUCCGUUGCUGGCGUCACUGCAUACAAAACCUCCGGAAAGAUAACGAGGCCAGACGUGCGGGCCGUGCGGCUGCGGUGGUAGGUGCACAGACCACAUCACAUCGAAUUAAUCGUACCUUAAAAAAAA